rnacentral:rRNA from 1 species
AAACCAACAGGGAUUGCCCUAGUAACGGCGAGUGAAGCGGCAACAGCUCAAAUUUGAAAUCUGGCUUCGGCCCGAGUUGUAAUUUGUAGAGGAUGCUUUUGGUGAGGUGCCUUCUGAGUUCCCUGGAACGGGACGCCAGAGAGGGUGAGAGCCCCGUAUAGUCGGCCACCGAUCCUCUGUAAAGCUCCUUCGACGAGUCGAGUAGUUUGGGAAUGCUGCUCAAAAUGGGAGGUAUAUCUCUUCUAAAGCUAAAUAUUGGCCAGAGACCGAUAGCGCACAAGUAGAGUGAUCGAAAGAUGAAAAGCACUUUGAAAAGAGGGUUAAAUAGCACGUGAAAUUGUUGAAAGGGAAGCGCUUGUGACCAGACUUGUGCCGGGCUGAUCAUCCAGUGUUCUCACUGGUGCACUCGACCCGGCUCAGGCCAGCGUCGGUUCUCGUAGGGGGAUAAAAGCUUCGGGAACGUGGCACCUUCGGGUGUGUUAUAGCCCGUUGCUUAAUACCCUUGUGGGGACCGAGGUUCGCGCUCUGCAAGGACGCUGGCAUAAUGGUCAUCAGCGACCCGUCUUGA